ensembl:snoRNA
GGCCUCUUUCCCAUGGGCUGUGUGGGCUCCGUUUUCUCCUCAGCCAAGACUGGAGGCCAAGAUCAGCCCUUGAGGGUCAUUGUGGGGACUGCCAGGAGCUGGGCAGCCUUGUUUUCCUACCUCAGACACUG